rnacentral:rRNA from 1 species
GAUGAACGCUGGCGGCGUGCCUAAUACAUGCAAGUCGAGCGAACAGACGAGGAGCUUGCUCCUCUGACGUUAUCGGCGGACGGGUGAGUAACACGUGGAUAACCUACCUAUAAGACUGGGAUAACUUCGGGAAACCGGAGCUAAUACCGUAUAAUAUAUUGAACCGUAUGGUUCAAUAGUGAAAUACGGUUUUGCUGUCACUUAUAGAUGGAUCCGCGCCGCAUUAGCUAGUUGGUAAGGUAACGGCUUACCAAGGCAACGAUGCGUAGCCGACCUGAGAGGGGGAUCGGCAACACUGGAACUGAGACACGGUCAAGACUCCUACGGGAGGAAGCAGAAGGGAAUCUUCCGCAAUGGCGGAAAGCCUGACGGAGAAACGCCGCGUGAGUGAUGAAGGUCUUCGGAUCGUAAAACUCUGUUAUUAGGGAAGAACAAAUGUGUAAGUAAAUAUGCACGUCUUGACGGUACCUAAUCAGAAAGCCACGACUAACUACGUG